rnacentral:rRNA from 1 species
GGGAACUGAAACAUCUAAGUACCUGAAGGAAGAGAAAAUAAACGAAUGAUUCCCUAAGUAGCGGCGAGCGAAAGGGGAAGAGCCCAAACCGAUCUUAGGAUCGGGGUUGUAGGACUGUCGGCAAAGAGCAAGAAAUCAUUAUAGGCGAACGGAAUGGGAAGUCCGGCGAAACAGGGUGACAGCCCCGUAGCCGAAAUAGUGAAGAAGCACGAGACAGCACCUGAGUACGGCGGGACACGAGGAAUCCUGUCGGAAUCCACCAGGACCAUCUGGUAAGGCUAAAUACUCCUCUGUGACCGAUAGUGAACCAGUACCGUGAGGGAAAGGUGAAAAGAACCCCGGGAGGGGAGUGAAAUAGAACCUGAAACCAUAUGCUUACAAGAAGUUAGAGCCCGUUAAAGGGUGAUAGCGUGCCUUUUGUAGAAUGAACCGGCGAGUUACGAUAUGGAGCGAGGUUAAGCAGGAUAUGCGGAGCCGAAGCGAAAGCGAGUCUUAACAGGGCGAAAGUUGCAUGUCGUAGACCCGAAACCGAGUGAUCUAGCCAUGACCAGGUUGAAGUUGGGGUAAAACCCGAUGGAGGACCGAACCGACCCCCGUUGAAACGUUGGCGGAUGAGUUGUGGCUAGGGGUGAAAUUCCAAUCGAACUCGGAGAUAGCUGGUUCUCCCCGAAAUAGCUUUAGGGCUAGCGUCGAGGUAAAGUCGUGUGAAGGUAGAGCACUGAAUAUGUGAUGGCCCCAUCUCGGGGUACUGAACAUAAUCAAACUCCGAAUGUCACAAAGAUAUACUCGGCAGUCAGACAGUGGGUGAUAAGGUCCAUUGUCAAAAGGGAAACAGCCCAGACCAUCAGCUAAGGUCCCAAAAUAUAUACUAAGUGGAAAAGGAUGUGGAGAUGUCCAGACAACUAGGAGGUUGGCUCAGAAGCAGCCAUCCUUUAAAGAGUGCGUAACAGCUCACUAGUCGAAUGACUCUGCGCCGAUAAUUUACCGGGGCUAAGUAUAUUACCGAAGCUAUGGAUUUACGCGUAAGCGUGAGUGGUAGGGGAGCGUUCUAUGUGCGGAGAAGCGGUACCGUAAGGAGCCGUGGAGCGCAUAGAAGAGAGAAUGCCGGUGUGAGUAGCGAAACGUGGGUGAGAAUCCCACGCACCGAAAACCCAAGGUUUCCAGAGGAAGGUUCGUCCGCUCUGGGUAAGUCGGGACCUAAGGCGAGGCCGAGAGGCGUAGUCGAUGGACAACAGGUAGAGAUUCCUGUACUUACGGUAUGAAUGAUGGAGUGACGGAGAAGGCUAGCGGAUCCUGCUGAUGGAAAUGCAGGUGCAAGCGAGGUAGCCGACAGCCAGGCAAAUCCGGCUGUCGAAAGGCAAAGGCGUGAGGCGUAUGGAAAGCUGCGGCAAGUACAGAAGUCCGUGAAGCCAGCUUCCAAGAAAAGCUUCUAGUGAUAAUCAUACAGUAACCCGUACCGAAAAUGGACACACAUGGGUGAGGAGAGAAUCCUAAGGUGAGCGAGAGAACUAUAGCUAAGGAACUCUGCAAAAUGACUCCGUAACUUAGGGAUAAGGAGUGCUCAUAGAGAUAUGAGCCGCAGUGAAACGGCCCAAGCGACUGUUUACCAAAAACACAGCUCUAUGCUAAGUCGAAAGACGACGUAUAUGGGGUGACGCCUGCCCGGUGCUGGAAGGUUAAGAGGAUGUGUCAGCGUAAGCGAAGCAUUGAAUUGAAGCCCCAGUAAACGGCGGCCGUAACUAUAACGGUCCUAAGGUAGCGAAAUUCCUUGUCAGGUAAGUUCUGACCCGCACGAAAGGCGUAACGAUUUGGGCGCUGUCUCAGCUGUAGACUCGGUGAAGUCUUAGUACCUGUGAAGAUGCAGGUUACCCGCGACUAGACGGAAAGACCCCAUGGAGCUUUACUGUAGCUUGAUAUUGGACUUUGAUGCAAGAUGUACAGGAUAGGUAGGAGACUGAGAGACAUGCACGCCAGUGUGUGAGGAGUCAAUGUUGGGAUACUACUCUUCUUGUAUUGGAGUUCUAACCGGAUGCCAUGGAACUGGCAACGGGACAGUGUCAGGUGGGCAGUUUGACUGGGGCGGUCGCCUCCCAAAGAGUAACGGAGGCGCCCAAAGAUACCCUCAGCUUGGAUGGAAAUCAAGCGCAGAGUGCAAAGGCAUAAGGGUGUUUGACUGCGAGACCUACAAGUCGAGCAGGGACGAAAGUCGGGCUUAGUGAUCCGG